rnacentral:rRNA from 1 species
GAUGAACGCUAGCGGCAGGCCUAAUACAUGCAAGUCGAACGGUAACAUGAGUAGCAAUACUUGAUGACGAGUGGCGCACGGGUGCGUAACGCGUAUGCAAUCUACCUUUAACUGGUGAAUAGCCCGAAGAAAUUCGGAUUAAUACACCAUAGUAUAAUUGAGUGGCAUCACUUAAUUAUUAAACUACCGGUGGUUAAAGAUGAGCAUGCGUGACAUUAGCUAGUUGGUGAGGUAAUGGCUCACCAAGGCUACGAUGUCUAGGGGGAUCUGAGAGGGACUUUAAACCCC